rnacentral:rRNA from 1 species
UACAGAGGGGGCAAGCGUUGUUCGGAAUUACUGGGCGUAAAGGGCGCGUAGGCGGCCUUCUAAGUCAGACGUGAAAUCCCUCGGCUCAACCGGGGAACUGCGUCUGAGACUGGAAGGCUUGAAUCCGGGAGAGGGAUGUGGAAUUCCAGGUGUAGCGGUGAAAUGCGUAGAUAUCGGAAGGAACACCGGUGGCGAAGGCGGCUUUCUGGACAGAUACCGACGCUGAGGCACGAAAGCUAGGGGAGCAAACAGG